GGACUACUCGGGUAUCUAAUCCUGUUCGCUACCCACGCUUUCGUCCAUCAGCGUCAAUAUAUUAGUAGUAACCUGCCUUCGCAAUUGGUAUUCCAUGUAAUCUCUAAGCAUUUCACCGCUACACUACAUAUUCUAGUUACUUCCUAAUAAUUCAAGUCAGACAGUAUCAAUGGCCGUUCCACCGUUGAGCGAUGGGCUUUCACCACUGACUUAUCUGACCGCCUACGGACCCUUUAAACCCAAUGAUUCCGGAUAACGCUUGGAUCCUCCGUAUUACCGCGGCUGCUGGCAC
rnacentral:misc_RNA from 1 species